AAUCUUUUGGAUUACACAGAGUGAUGCAGUAUUGACUGUGAUGCUGAUUUGAGUGGUCUCAUUCUGUAUUUUUGUGCUUUGUCUUUUGUUACACAGAGUGAAAGAGAUCUUUGGUUUUGCCUUUGCUGACUGCUGAUCUGAUCGUCUCAAGUCUGGUGACCUGCUGCAGAAAACCCUCUCCCUCUA